UGUGGAAUUUUGGACAAUGGGCGAAAGCCUGAUCCAGCAAUGCCGCGUGUGUGAAGAAGGCCUUCGGGUUGUAAAGCACUUUUGUCCGGAAAGAAAUCCUUGGCUCUAAUACAGUCGGGGGAUGACGGUACCGGAAGAAUAAGCACCGGCUAACUACGUGCCAGCAGCCGCGGUAAUACGUAGGGUGCAAGCGUUAAUCGGAAUUACUGGGCGUAAAGCGUGCGCAGGCGGUUUGCUAAGACCGAUGUGAAAUCCCCGGGCUCAACCUGGGAACUGCAUUGGUGACUGGCAGGCUAGAGUAUGGCAGAGGGGGGUAGAAUUCCACGUGUAGCAGUGAAAAUGCGUAGAGAUGUGGAGGAAUACCGAUGGCGAAGGCAGCCCCCUGGGCCAAUACUGACGCUCAUGCACGAAAGCGUGGGGAGCAAAACAGGAUUAGAUACCCUGGUAGUCCACGCCCUAAAACGAUGUCAACUAGUUGUUGGGGAUUCAUUUCCUUAGUAACGUAGCUAACGCGUGAAGUUGACCGCCUGGGGAGUACGGUCGCAAGAUUAAAACUCAAAGGAAUUGACGGGGUCAUAGCUGUUUCCU
rnacentral:rRNA from 1 species